rnacentral:rRNA from 1 species
AUACGUAGGGGGCAAGCGUUAUCCGGAUUUACUGGGUGUAAAGGGAGCGUAGACGGAAUGGCAAGUCUGAUGUGAAAGGCCGGGGCUCAACCCCGGGACUGCAUUGGAGACUGUCAGGCUAGAGUGCAGGAGGGGUAAGCGGAAUUCCUAGUGUAGCGGUGAAAUGCGUAGAUAUUAGGAGGAAUACCAGUUGCGAAGGCGGCUCUCUGGACUGUAACUGACACUGAGGCACGAAAGCGUGGGGAGCAAACAGGAUUAGAUACCCUGGUAGUCCACGCUAUAAACGAUGAGUGCUAGGUGUCGGGGGUCAAACCUCGGUGCCGCAGUUAACACAUUAAGCACUCCGCCUGGGGAGUACGGCCGCAAGGCUGAAACUCAAAGGAAUUGACGGGG